GCAAUAAAGAAGCAAGAGCCCAAGCCAAAGAAGAAGACAUGGAAAUCGGCUACGAGGAUCCCGUGCUUCCACAAACCUUCGAAAGUCUCGAGCAGAAAUUCUUUCAAGACAUCAUGCAACUGACGAAGGAGCAUCAGGAUGCCGAGGACAAGGAAAACACAAGGCACAGGGAGAAACUCAAUGAGAUAAACACCCAGUAUCAG
rnacentral:misc_RNA from 1 species